ACAAAAUUAUUCAACCCUAAUCCAUCUUCCUCUUUGUCUGUCUUCCUCUCAAGUUAGCCCUAAAAAGAGGUAAUGUCUGGCAUGUACGAUCAAGGGGGAGACGCUGCUCCUUCGUCUUACGGAGCCCCUGGAGGCGGCGGUGGAUAUGGCGGCGGUGGCGGAGGGUAUGGAGGUGGCGGUGGGAAGGGCGGUGACGGUGGAUAUGGUGGUGGGGGCCGAGGUGGCGGCGGCGGUAGAGGCUAUGGAGGACGAGGUGGCGGUGGAGGCUACGGCGGUCGAGGAGGCGGCGGUGGUGGUUAUCAAGGAGGAGAUCGCGGUGGUGGUGGUGGUGGUGGUGGUGGUUAUCAAGGAGGAGAUCGUGGUGGGCGAGGUGGUGGACGUGGUGGCGGGGGUGGUCGUGGUGGAAGCGGCAGAGAUGGCGAUUGGGUCUGCCCUAAUCCUGGCUGUGCGAAUUUGAACUUUGCUAGAAGAGUGGAGUGUAACAAAUGUGGGGCACCAUCACCAGGAGGUACUAAUGACCGAAGUGGCGGUGGUGGUUAUAAUAGAGGUGGAGCUGAUGGGGGUUAUGGUGGUAAUCGUAAUGGCAGGGGUGGUAACUUCCAUGGUGGUAGAAGUGGAACUCAUGAUGGAGGUCGAAAUGAAGGAGGGAACAGAGGUGGUGGUUCUUACGGUGGUCACCAGGGAGGAGAAGAUAGUGGGUAUAGUCAGGUUCCCCCAUCAUCAGCACCCCAAUCUGGUGGUGUUGGUGGCUCUUAUCCACCAUCUUACUCUGGUGGAAGUGCAGAUUAUGGGACUGAUGCAGUUCCUCCACCUGCGAGCUACGGUGGAACUACAUACCCUCCAACUUAUGGUGGACCCACCGGUGGCUAUGGUGGUGAUAGUAUAGGUGAUGGGCGGACUUCUGCUGGUCGCGGUGGGCCGUCUGGUGGAUAUGAUGGUGGCUACAAUGCAGGUGGUAGAGGUGGCUAUAACGCUGGUGGUAGAGUAGGGAGCUAUAAUGCUGGUGGUAGAGGUGGUGGUUUUGGAAGUACACCAGUGGAGUCAGCACAGGUGAAGCAGUGCGAUGACAAUUGUGAUGAUACAUGUGAUAACUCUAGAAUCUAUGUUUCUAAUUUGCCACCAGAUGUGACCAUUGAUGAAUUGAGAGAACUAUUUGGCGGCAUUGGUCAAAUUGGAAGAAUCAAGCAGAAGAGGGGCUACAAGGAUCAGUGGCCUUGGAACAUAAAAAUAUAUACUGAUGAGAUGGGAAAUAACAAAGGCGAUGCAUGUGUAUCAUAUGAAGAUCCUUCAGCAGCGCAUUCUGCUGGCGGUUUCUAUAACAAUCAUGAUUUGAGAGGUUUUAAAAUCAGUGUUGCAAUGGCUGAGAAGUCUGCACCGAGGGCUCCACCUACAUUCAACCAUGGAGGUGGUGGUAGAGGAGGUGGAUAUGGAGGUGGUGGAGACAGGCGUAGAGAUAGCUAUAGGGACGGAGGCUCUGGACCCGAUAGACAUCAGCAUGGUGGAAAUCGAUCUCGUCCUUACUGAGAGAUUCAGCAUUGGGCAUUUUAUGUAAUGGGAAUUGUGAUCUUAGUGUUUUAGUUUUGUUCCAUGGCUGGAUUCUUGAAUUGGAGACCAAAGAGAGGCAGGCGGAUAAUCUCCAAACUGCUUGUUGCUAAGGUAGGUUGAUGUUUUCAGGUGAGUGCUUCUCUUUCCAUCACCAUUCUUAGAAUUUUGCAACAGUGCCUGAUGUAUAAAACCUCCACCUGAUCUCAGCCCUCAUCCCCCUGGUGGCUCUGAUGCAAGCAUAUCAUAACCCUAUGAUUAUCAUUUCUGCAUUCAUAUUCUAAUUAUUAAAUAUUAACUUCUGGCAUGUUCUUCAAUUUUUUAAAUUUGUUUAUUAUUUGUUAGGGAUGACUGGAAUAUCUGUCCUAUUCCUUAAUUUGUCCUUAAUUUGAUUUUUCCAAAAGACAGUGUCUUAUUGAGGAACUCUUAGGUUUAGACAUUGUCGUAAGUAACUUCUGUUAAGUCAAAUGGUCAACUGGGCCACCUAUAUAGUAUUGUAAUAGUUCGUUAUUAAGGUUAGGACUUUCUGGGAGGGACAAUGGCAAUUAGAGAUGGGGCAGGUCUAUGGUGGAAGCCCUCUUGUUUCCUCGGUGGGAGGGUCGGAUUUUUUGGCUUGCUGGAUUCUUUGCGGUUUUGUGGGGCUUGUAGUUAGAGAGAAAUAACAGGAUUUUUGGGAUGGGGUGAGAUCCCUGAGGGUGUGGUCUUUAGCUAAUGCCUGGUUUUCAAGGACUUUUGUAAUUUAUCCAUUAGGUCUCGUGAUGUUGGGUUGGAGCCCCGUUUGGUAUAGUUAGUUGGGAGGCUCCAUGCGUUACAGGCUUUUUUGGGUUUGUUUUUUUAGCCCUUGGCUUGUUCUUUGUUCUCUUGCUUUCUUUCAGUUUUAUCUCAAUGAAAGCUUGGUUUCUUUUAUAUA